rnacentral:misc_RNA from 1 species
AACAUCAAACUUCCCACAAAAAUCCCUGUAUUUCUGAUUGCUGAUUGUUUUGAUUGGAGCUGUAUAUACAGCCCUGGUACAAUGUUUAGCUGCCAAAGCAAAUGCAUAUUCAGCCACAACAGUCUUCCCAGCAGAUGUAUGAGCAGCAACAAAGACAGAGUUCCCUUUUUCAAGAUGAUAGAUGGCCUCCUUUUGAAAGGGGUCGAGUUCAAAUGGGAAAGUAAGAGCCAUAUCAGGGAUGAGAUCAUGAAA